CAACAAUCGAAAGGAGGUGAUCCUGUGUCUCAUUGUCGUUUGCCGCGUGGCUUGGUCGCAAUGGUCCGGAUCUCUGAUUUCGUAGGGAUUCGCACCGCUUGACCGGCCUUGCUUGGCCUUCGGGCCGGGUCGCGGUCUGACAAUGGAAGGGUCGCCCAAACGGGCGACCCU
rnacentral:sRNA from 1 species